rnacentral:rRNA from 1 species
GCAUGCAAGUUGAACGAACUCCUUCGGGAGUGAGUAGCGAAAGGGUGAGGAACGCGUGAGUAAUCUGCCCAUAAGUUGGGAACAACAGUUGGAAACGACUGCUAAUACCGAAUGUGGCUAUUGACCCGCAUGGGCUUUUGGCUAAAGAUUUAUCGCUUAUGGAUGAGCUCGCGUCCCAUUAGCUAGUUGGUGAGGUAACGGCCCACCAAGGCUACGAUGGGUAGCUGGUCUGAGAGGAUGGUCAGCCACACUGGGACUGAGACACUGCCCAGACUCCUACGGGAGGCUGCAGUCGAGAAUCUUGGGCAAUGCGCGAAAGCGUGACCCAGCAAUGCCGCGUGCAUGAUGAAGGCCCUCGGGUCGUAAAAUGCUGUCUCCCGUGACGAAUAAUGACGGUAGCGGGGAAGGAAGCCACGGCUAACUACGUGCCAGCAGCCGCGGUAAUACGUAGGUGGCGAGCGUUGUUCGGAUUUAUUGGGCGUAAAGGGUCUGUAGGAGGUUUGUUAAAUACGAGGUGAAAUCCGGGGGCUCAACUUCCGAAUUGCCUUGUAGACUGAUGAACUAGAGUACUGGAGAGGUAAGCGGAAUACCAGGUGUAGCGGUGGAAUGCGUAGAUAUCUGGUAGAACACCAAUAGCGAAGGCAGCUUGCUGGACAGAAACUGACUCUGAAAGACGAAAGCAUGGGGAGCAAACAGGAUUAGAUACCCUGGUAGUCCAUGCCGUAAACGUUGUCAACUUGAUGUGGGCGGAUUUAGUCCUGUCCGUAUCGAAGCUAACGCGAUAAGUUGACCGCCUGG